rnacentral:rRNA from 1 species
GGGUUGUGAGGUUAAGCGACUAAGCGUACACGGUGGAUGCCCUGGCAGUCAGAGGCGAUGAAGGGCGUGCUAAUCUGCGAUAAGCGCCGGUAAGGUGAUAUGAACCGUUAUAACCGGCGAUACCCGAAUGGGGAAACCCAGUGUGACUCGUCACACUAUCAUUAACUGAAUCCAUAGGUUAAUGAGGCGAACCGGGGGAACUGAAACAUCUAAGUACCCCGAGGAAAAGAAAUCAACCGAGAUUCCCCCAGUAGCGGCGAGCGAACGGGGAGGAGCCCAGAGCCUGAAUCAGCAUGUGUGUUAGUGGAAGCGUCUGGAAAGGCGCGCGAUACAGGGUGACAGCCCCGUACACAAAAGCGCAUGUGCUGUGAGCUCGAUGAGUAGGGCGGGACACGUGGUAUCCUGUCUGAAUAUGGGGGGACCAUCCUCCAAGGCUAAAUACUCCUGACUGACCGAUAGUGAACCAGUACCGUGAGGGAAAGGCGAAAAGAACCCCGGCGAGGGGAGUGAAAAAGAACCUGAAACCGUGUACGUACAAGCAGUGGGAGCNNNNNNNNNNNNNNNNNNNNNNNNNNNNNNNNNNNNNNNGGGCGUUAAGUUGCAGGGUAUAGACCCGAAACCCGGUGAUCUAGCCAUGGGCAGGUUGAAGGUUGGGUAACACUAACUGGAGGACCGAACCGACUAAUGUUGAAAAAUUAGCGGAUGACCUGUGGCUGGGGGUGAAAGGCCAAUCAAACCGGGAGAUAGCUGGUUCUCCCCGAAAGCUAUUUAGGUAGCGCCUCGUGAAUUCAUCUCCGGGGGUAGAGCACUGUUUCGGCUAGGGGGCCAUCCCGGCUUACCAACCCGAUGCAAACUGCGAAUACCGGAGAAUGUUAUCACGGGAGACACACGGCGGGUGCUAACGUCCGUCGUGAAGAGGGAAACAACCCAGACCGCCAGCUAAGGUCCCAAAGUCAUGGUUAAGUGGGAAACGAUGUGGGAAGGCCCAGACAGCCAGGAUGUUGGCUUAGAAGCAGCCAUCAUUUAAAGAAAGCGUAAUAGCUCACUGGUCGAGUCGGCCUGCGCGGAAGAUGUAACGGGGCUAAACCAUGCACCGAAGCUGCGGCAGCGACACUGUGUGUUGUUGGGUAGGGGAGCGUUCUGUAAGCCUGCGAAGGUGGCCUGUGAGGGUUGCUGGAGGUAUCAGAAGUGCGAAUGCUGACAUAAGUAACGAUAAAGCGGGUGAAAAGCCCGCUCGCCGGAAGACCAAGGGUUCCUGUCCAACGUUAAUCGGGGCAGGGUGAGUCGACCCCUAAGGCGAGGCCGAAAGGCGUAGUCGAUGGGAAACGGGUUAAUAUUCCCGUACUUGGUGUUACUGCGAAGGGGGGACGGAGAAGGCUAUGUUGGCCGGGCGACGGUUGUCCCGGUUUAAGCGUGUAGGUGUGUGUUCCAGGUAAAUCCGGUUCACUUUAACACUGAGGCGUGACGACGAGGCACUACGGUGCUGAAGCAACAAAUGCCCUGCUUCCAGGAAAAGCCUCUAAGCAUCAGGUAACAUCAAAUCGUACCCCAAACCGACACAGGUGGUCAGGUAGAGAAUACCAAGGCGCUUGAGAGAACUCGGGUGAAGGAACUAGGCAAAAUGGUGCCGUAACUUCGGGAGAAGGCACGCUGACACGUAGGUGAAGUGAUUUACUCAUGGAGCUGAAGUCAGUCGAAGAUACCAGCUGGCUGCAACUGUUUAUUAAAAACACAGCACUGUGCAAACACGAAAGUGGACGUAUACGGUGUGACGCCUGCCCGGUGCCGGAAGGUUAAUUGAUGGGGUCAGCGCAAGCGAAGCUCCUGAUCGAAGCCCCGGUAAACGGCGGCCGUAACUAUAACGGUCCUAAGGUAGCGAAAUUCCUUGUCGGGUAAGUUCCGACCUGCACGAAUGGCGUAAUGAUGGCCAGGCUGUCUCCACCCGAGACUCAGUGAAAUUGAACUCGCUGUGAAGAUGCAGUGUACCCGCGGCAAGACGGAAAGACCCCGUGAACCUUUACUAUAGCUUGACACUGAACAUUGAGCCUUGAUGUGUAGGAUAGGUGGGAGGCUUUGAAGUGUGGACGCCAGUCUGCAUGGAGCCGACCUUGAAAUACCACCCUUUAAUGUUUGAUGUUCUAACGUGGACCCGUUACCCGGGUUGCGGACAGUGUCUGGUGGGUAGUUUGACUGGGGCGGUCUCCUCCUAAAGAGUAACGGAGGAGCACGAAGGUUGGCUAAUCCUGGUCGGACAUCAGGAGGUUAGUGCAAUGGCAUAAGCCAGCUUGACUGCGAGCGUGACGGCGCGAGCAGGUGCGAAAGCAGGUCAUAGUGAUCCGGUGGUUCUGAAUGGAAGGGCCAUCGCUCAACGGAUAAAAGGUACUCCGGGGAUAACAGGCUGAUACCGCCCAAGAGUUCAUAUCGACGGCGGUGUUUGGCACCUCGAUGUCGGCUCAUCACAUCCUGGGGCUGAAGUAGGUCCCAAGGGUAUGGCUGUUCGCCAUUUAAAGUGGUACGCGAGCUGGGUUUAGAACGUCGUGAGACAGUUCGGUCCCUAUCUGCCGUGGGCGCUGGAGAACUGAGGGGGGCUGCUCCUAGUACGAGAGGACCGGAGUGGACGCAUCACUGGUGUUCGGGUUGUCAUGCCAAUGGCACUGCCCGGUAGCUAAAUGCGGAAGAGAUAAGUGCUGAAAGCAUCUAAGCACGAAACUUGCCCCGAGAUGAGUUCUCCCUGAGACUUAGAGUCUCCUGAAGGAACGUUGAAGACGACGACGUUGAUAGGCCGGGUGUGUAAGCGCAGCGAUGCGUUGAGCUAACCGGUACUAAUGAACCGUGAGGCUUAACCUUACAACGCCGAAG